CUGAAAUUAGAAUUGGAAUAAAACUUCUCCAAUCAAAUGAUGAGAAUGUGAGUCAUCCAUUUCCAUUCCCAAUUCAAGCCCUAACUCUUCCUAAUCAAAUAUCUCCUUAAACUUUCAACCAGAGUUGGAGGUCUAUUUGAGUUUUUGCUUAAAUUGUGGUGGAAUAUAAAAGAAUGUUCCAAGAUUUGGGUGCUGAUCAACUCAAUUUGGUACGGUUUGAUGACACUUUAAAAGAUCUAG
rnacentral:lncRNA from 1 species